AUUGAACGCUGGCGGCAGGCCUAACACAUGCAAGUCGAAUGGUAACAGGAAACAGCUUGCUGUUUCGCUGACGAGUGGCGGACGGGUGAGUAAUGUCUGGGAAACUGCCUGAUGGAGGGGGAUAACUACUGGAAACGGUAGCUAAUACCGCAUAACGCCGCAAGACUAAAGAGGGGGACCUUCGGUCCUCUUGCCAUCAUAUGCGCCCAGAUGGGAUUAGCUUGUAGGUGGGGUAACGGCUCCCCUAGGCGACGAUCCCUAGCUGGUCUGAGGGGAUGACCAGCCACACUGGAACUGAGACACGGUCCAGACUCCUACGGGAGGCAGCAGUGGGGAAUAUUGCACAAUGGGCGCAAGCCUGAUGCAGCCAUGCCGCGUGUAUGAAGAAGGCCUUCGGGUUGUAAAGUACUUUCAGCGGGGAGGAAGGGAGUAAAGUUAAUACCUUUGCUCAUUGACGUUACCCGCAGAAGAAGCACCGGCUAACUCCGUG
rnacentral:rRNA from 1 species